rnacentral:lncRNA from 1 species
GGGAGGAAGAGUGGAGGAAGAGGAGGGGGAAGAAGGAAGGAGGAAGGGCCGUACCAAGUCACCGGUGAACAUUCCCAGCACACACAGGACUCCUCCCAGAAACAGACAGGUGGAAGCUGACCACUAAAAGCUGGCUAGAGAGAGCCAGGGCACUCAGGACUAGGGGGAGAGUUGAAGUAUUAUGUUGGCAAAAGACUCUAUGGGUAUCCUCACUUGACUAGAAGAAGGAUUACUUUUUCCUUGGACCCAGGAAUCUGCUGAGGUGUUCACAGCUGCCUGCCUGCCUGCCCUGUCAGAUAGUAGAAGUGGUGAGAUGAUGACCAAGUUGGAUGGUGAACGGAAGAUUCUCGACACCAGUGUCCCCAUAUCACUGUGAACACUGUGAACGCCCUCCGCUGCACCUUCUGAAGCGUGAAUGUUUCUUCUUUGGCAGAAGUAGAACUGAGUAAAUAAACCUUGCCUCAGUGGAGAGAGAUACUUUAGAAUGACCUUCUGCCUGAAAAGUUCAUCCAGAGAGUCAUCACUUUGUACCCCUGAUCAGCGUGCUAAGCAAAGAGCAGCUGUGACUCAGCCUGGUGACUGAAGAGAUGGUUCCUGGUUCUUUUAUAGGGCACCUGUGUCCAUUUUGCUGCUGUGGACAUCCAUCUUUA